rnacentral:rRNA from 1 species
GAUGAACGCUGGCGGCGUGCUUAAUACAUGCAAGUCGAGCGAAGCGCUUUAACGGAAUUCUUCGGAUGAAGAGGUUUGUGACUGAGUGGCGGACGGGUGAGUAACGCGUGGGCAACCUGCUUCAUACAGGGGGAUAACAGUUAGAAAUGACUGCUAAUACCGCAUAAGACCACGGAGCCGCAUGGCUCAGUGGGAAAAACUCCGGUGGUAUGAGAUGGACCCGCGUCUGAUUAGGUAGUUGGUGGGGUAACGGCCUACCAAGCCAACGAUCAGUAGCCGACCUGAGAGGGUGACCGGCCACAUUGGGACUGAGACACGGCCCAAACUCCUACGGGAGGCAGCAGUGGGGAAUAUUGCACAAUGGGGGAAACCCUGAUGCAGCGACGCCGCGUGAGCGAAGAAGUAUUUCGGUAUGUAAAGCUCUAUCAGCAGGGAAGAAAAUGACGGUACCUGACUAAGAAGCACCGGCUAAAUACGUGCCAGCAGCCGCGGUAAUACGUAUGGUGCAAGCGUUAUCCGGAUUUACUGGGUGUAAAGGGAGCGUAGACGGCUGUGUAAGUCUGAAGUGAAAGCCCGGGGCUCAACCCCGGGACUGCUUUGGAAACUAUGCAGCUAGAGUGUCGGAGAGGUAAGUGGAAUUCCCAGUGUAGCGGUGAAAUGCGUAGAUAUUGGGAGGAACACCAGUGGCGAAGGCGGCUUACUGGACGAUGACUGACGUUGAGGCUCGAAAGCGUGGGGAGCAAACAGG